GGGAUAGUAGUGUAAUUGGUAGCACUCCAGCUUGUGGCGCUGGCAGAGCGGAUUCAAAUUCCGCCUAUCCCA
rnacentral:tRNA from 1 species